UCCCUGAGACCCUUUGAUUGUC
rnacentral:miRNA from 1 species